rnacentral:rRNA from 1 species
AGUGAACGCUGGCGGUAGGCCUAACACAUGCAAGUCGAACGGCAGCACAGUAAGAGCUUGCUCUUACGGGUGGCGAGUGGCGGACGGGUGAGCAAUACAUCGGAAUCUACUUUUUCGUGGGGGCUAACGUAGGGAAACUUACGCUAAUACCGCAUACGACCUACGGGUGAAAGCAGGGGAUCUUCGGACCUUGCGCGAUUGAAUGAGCCGAUGUCGGAUUAGCUAGUUGGCGGGGUAAAGGCACACCAAGGCGACGAUCCGUAGCGGGUCUGAGAGGGUGAUCAGCUACACUGGAACUGAGACACGGUACAGACUCCUACGGGAGGCAGCAGUGGGGAAUAUUGGACAAUGGGCGCAAGCCGGAUCCAGCCAUACCGCGGGGGUGAAGAAGGCCUUCGGGUUGUAAAGCCCUGUUGUUGGGAAAGAAAAGCAGCAGGUUAAUACCGCGCUGUUCUGACGGUACCCAAAGAAUAAGCACCGGCUAACUUCGUG